GAGCUGAUUAUUAAGAGCAUUAUGAGUGGCAAGAAGAACCUAUAAACCAGUCCUGGACAAAAUAGAAUAUGAUGGCUCCAUUGAGACCCACAUCUUCCUCCACGCAGCCAGCCAGGGCCAGCGCAUGAGGCCGAGUGAGCGGCAUGUGACAGUGGCGCCUUCAGCCCACCCCGCCAGAGACCUGGCUGCAAGGUCAGGGGUGCCAAACCUGUGUCGUCACAAUGGCAUCAUGUGGCACAGAGGUGAGUUCCUACCAGUUCGCACCUAUUCGGUAGAACCGCUUCGUCAAAUCUACCGAACCGGUUA